CACCCAAAUUUAUUUAAAAUUUUACAAUAAUACCAAAAUUGCCCUCUUCAUGUAAAUUUUUAAAAACUCAUCUUUUAUGAUCAUUCUGAACCCUUACCCCCUUUCAUCCACAAAUCACCAUAGAUGUGCAACCAAUAUCUGAAUCAACAUCUUUGUUAUUGAUCUAUACUAUAUUCAUAAAGGUUAGUGAAUUUCAUGAAUUUCAUUUUCGAUGAGUUUCUAUUUGUUUAUUGUUUGUUUUGGUAUGAGAUAUGCAUGCCAAUUUGAUUUUAAGUGAGAGGUUAGUGUAAAUUAAGUUUACGUGUAUGUAUAUAAAAGGGGUUAGUGUAGUUUACGUAUGUAGGUUAAUGUAAAUUCAAGUUUACGUAUGUUCAAUUUAGGUUAGUGUAAAUUCAGGUUACUUACGUUCAAUCUAGGUUAAUGUAAAUUAAGUUUACUUAUGUUCAAUCUAUGUUAAUGUAAAUUCAGUUUACUUACGUUCAAUCUAAGUUAAUGUAAAUUAAGUUUACUUAUG
rnacentral:lncRNA from 1 species